rnacentral:rRNA from 1 species
GACGACCGCUGGCGGUGUGCUUAACACAUGCAAGUCGAACGGUAAGGCCCUUUCGGGGGUACACGAGUGGCGAACGGGUGAGUAACACGUGAGUAACCUGCCCUCAUCUCUGGGAUAACAGUCGGAAACGGUUGCUAAUACUGGAUAUGAGCCUGCAAGGCAUCUUGUGGGUUGGAAAGAUUUUUUGGUUGGGGAUGGACUCGCGGCCUAUCAGCUUGUUGGUGAGGUAGUGGCUCACCAAGGCUUCGACGGGUAGCCGGCCUGAGAGGGCGACCGGCCACAUUGGGACUGAGAUACGGCCCAAACUCCUACGGGAGGCAGCAGUGGGGAAUAUUGCACAAUGGACGGAAGUCUGAUGCAGCAACGCCGCGUGCGGGAUGACGGCCUUCGGGUUGUAAACCGCUUUCAAUUGUGACGGAGCUUUUUGUGACGGUAGCAGUAGAAGAAGCACCGGCUAACUACGUG